CUACGGGCGGCUCCAGUGAGGAAUAUUGGGCAAUGGAGGCAACUCUGACCCAGCCAUGCCGCGUGCAGGAAGACGGCCCUCUGGGUUGUAAACUGCUUUUGUUUGGGAAUAAACCCUUCUACGUGUAGGAGGCUGAAGGUACCAUUCGAAUAAGGAUCGGCUAACUCCGUGCCAGCAGCCGCGGUAAUACGGGGGAUCCAAGCGUUAUCCGGAUUUAUUGGGUUUAAAGGGUCCGUAGGCGGGUCUUUAAGUCAGUGGUGAAAGCCCACAGCUCAACUGUGGAACUGCCAUUGAUACUGGAGAUCUUGAGUGUAGUAGAAGUAGGCGGAAUAGGGCAUGUAGCGGUGAAAUGCAUAGAUAUGCCCUAGAACACCGAUUGCGAAGGCAGCUUACUAUGUUACAACUGACGCUGAGGGACGAAAGCGUGGGGAGCAAACAGGAUUAGAUACCCCCGUAGUC
rnacentral:rRNA from 1 species